AACGAACGCUGGCGGCAUGCCUAACACAUGCAAGUCGAACGAGACCUUCGGGUCUAGUGGCGCACGGGUGCGUAACGCGUGGGAACCUGCCCUUAGGUUCGGAAUAACUCCCCGAAAGGGGUGCUAAUACCGGAUAAUGUCUUCGUACCAAAGACUUAUCGCCUUUGGAUGGGCCCGCGUUGGAUUAGCUAGUUGGUAGGGUAAAAGCCUACCAAGGCGACGAUCCAUAGCUGGUCUGAGAGGAUGAUCAGCCACGCUGGGACUGAGACACGGCCCAGACUCCUACGGAAGGCAGCAGUGGGGAAUAUUGGACGAUGGACGAAAGCCUGAUCCAGCAAUGCCGCGUGAGUGAUGAAGGCCUUAGGGUUGUAAAGCUCUUUUACCCGAGAUGAUAAUGACAGUACCGGGAGAAUAAGCUCCGGCUAACUCCGUG
rnacentral:rRNA from 1 species